rnacentral:rRNA from 1 species
UAGGGAAUUUUCGUCAAUGGAGGGAACUCUGAACGAGCAAUGCCGCGUGAGUGAAGAAGGUCUUCGGAUCGUAAAGCUCUGUUGUAAGAGAAAAACGGUGGAUAUAGGAAAUGAUGUCCAAGUGAUGGUAUCUUACCAGAAAGCCACGGCUAACUACGUGCCAGCAGCCGCGGUAAUACGUAGGUGGCAAGCGUUAUCCGGAAUGAUUGGGCGUAAAGGGUGCGUAGGUGGUGCAUUAAGUCUGAAGUAAAAGCCAGCAGCUCAACUGCUGUAAGCUUUGGAAACUGGUGUACUAGAGUGCAGGAGAGGGCGAUGGAAUUCCAUGUGUAGCGGUAAAAUGCGUAGAUAUAUGGAGGAACACCAGUGGCGAAGGCGGUCGCCUGGCCUGUAACUGACACUGAGGCACGAAAGCGUGGGGAGCAAAUAGG